UUCCUGAUCAAAGGGUUCUGCUGACACUUGAUCACCAGGGAAGAGCAUUCUGUUCAAAUAGAUAAUAGAAGCUGGCCAUUAAUGAGGUUAGUACCUAGGAACUAGUUCCAGCAAGUUUAGAAAAGACCUUAUGCUUAAGGAGACAGCAGAUGUUGAAUGGUAACUGGGACCUCAUAGAGGAUUUGGAGAGUCUGUCAGGGAGUGUCUAGAGUUUGAACUGGGUUUUCGACAGUGUGUUCUGUUUAAAAGAAAUCUGGCUGUUGAUGCUACAGCAUGAAGAUUUUGAAAGCCCUGCUUAAUCUUUCUAAUCAGCUCUUGGGAGUUCAGAAAUUGGAAAACUAAAUUAUAAAUAUUACUGCCUUUAUCUGAGUGCUGAAAAGGUGACACUGAUUGACAUCUUCAGAAAAUCGAUGAGGAAACCAUUAUGUCUGUGGAACAAAGCAUUAUGAAAACCACUUAGGAGAUUUUUUCUACAAGCUCAUCACAUUCCUUGGUUUGCGCUUUCGACAAAUUCUUGGACUUCUUGAUAUGUUCUGGAUAACUUCAAGGACAAAAAUAACAAGAAUAUAUUAAUUCUAGGAAUAUAAACAGUAAAGAGCACCAUUAUUCAGACUAAAUAUUGUUUGAGUGAUAAAGACACUCCAGAUUUCCCAUUAUAGUUGAAGAAGCAUGCCCAUGUGUGCCUGAAUUCCUGCUAUCACUGGCAGGAAGGGCUCCAUAAUAUUAUUCACCAGAAGUUUGAGAAUGAGUUGUUGGUAAAGAGUGGAAGAUUUGUUGAUAUAAUGGAAUAUGUCUUACCGUAGAGAUAUAUAGGAACUGUUAAAAAACAUGAAUGGAAACUAGUGAAAAAUAAUUUGAAGCUCUACAUAGUAAUGGUUUAGUACAAUUGUACAUUUUGGGAAAAUAAAAUAAAAUAAAAUAAAUUUAUGACUUCAGCUGGCA